UGGCGAACGGGUGAGUAAUGUAUCGGAACGUACCUUUCAGUGGGGGAUAACGUAGCGAAAGUUACGCUAAUACCGCAUAUUCUGUGAGCAGGAAAGCAGGGGAUCGCAAGACCUUGCGCUGAUUGAGCGGCCGAUAUCAGAUUAGCUAGUUGGUGAGGUAAAGGCUCACCAAGGCGACGAUCUGUAGCGGGUCUGAGAGGAUGAUCCGCCACACUGGAACUGAGACACGGUCCAGACUCCUACGGGAGGCAGCAGUGGGGAAUUUUGGACAAUGGGGGCAACCCUGAUCCAGCCAUGCCGCGUGAGUGAAGAAGGCCUUCGGGUUGUAAAGCUCUUUCGGCCGGGAAGAAAUCGCAU
rnacentral:rRNA from 1 species